UACGUAGGGUGCAAGCGUUGUCCGGAAUUAUUGGGCGUAAAGAGCUCGUAGGUGGUUUGUUACGUCUGCUGUGAAAACCUAGGGCUUAACCCCGGACUUGCAGUGGGUACGGGCAGACUAGAGUGUGGUAGGGGAGACUGGAAUUCCUGGUGUAGCGGUGAAAUGCGCAGAUAUCAGGAGGAACACCGAUGGCGAAGGCAGGUCUCUGGGCCACUACUGACGCUGAGAAGCGAAAGCAUGGGGAGCGAACAGG
rnacentral:rRNA from 1 species